rnacentral:rRNA from 1 species
UGGGGAAUAUUGCACAAUGGGCGCAAGCCUGAUGCAGCCAUGCCGCGUGUAUGAAGAAGGCCUUCGGGUUGUAAAGUACUUUCAGCGGGGAGGAAGGGAGUAAAGUUAAUACCUUUGCUCAUUGACGUUACCCGCAGAAGAAGCACCGGCUAACUCCGUGCCAGCAGCCGCGGUAAUACGGAGGGUGCAAGCGUUAAUCGGAAUUACUGGGCGUAAAGCGCACGCAGGCGGUUUGUUAAGUCGGAUGUGAGAUCCCCGGGCUCAACCUGGGAAGUGCAUAUUAUACUGGCGAGCUUGAGUCUCGUAGAGGGGGGUAGAAUUCCAGGUGUAGCGGUGAAAUGCGUUGAGAGCCGGAGGAAUACCGGUGGCGAAGGCGGCCCCCUAGACGAAGACUGGCGCUCAGGUGCGAAAGCGUGGGGAGCAAACAGG